AGUCGACCCGAGUCAUCACCAGACGAACAACAGUUUGCCUCACGUUUAAAAGAACCCAGUCUUAUCAGAACUAAAAGCUCUAUUUUGUUUCUUCGCUUCACCCAUGGCUUACACGAUUACCUCGACGUUGUUUUUCCCCGGUUCGACAACCAUUGGAGGAGGUGUGUGGAAUGCAAUCUCAUGACCUCAGCAGCUCAGCGAAUGAACAGGACACGAUGUCGGAUGUCUUUCGGCAGGUUCAAGAUUUGUUGAUUGAAUUGGACGAGGUCGGCUUGAAGAUCGUUGUGCAAAUGGGCGUGGCUUUCAAGUUCCCUCUGAUUGGAGUCGCGAUCUCGAAUUACGCGUCAUGAUUAGGAUCCAACUCUUCCUUGUCGAAUUCCCAAGGGUUUCGCUCUUUUGGACGACGGUGCCCUUCGACCGUGCAAGGAUCAAAACAAACUCACGUUCAAACCUUCGCAUAAUAGAGUUACGACCGACAUGGACCCAAAUAUUGGUUCAGUUCCCAGAAAGAAAUUGAAUAUGGUGAUUGGUGUGAAGCAACUAAUGUCGUGGAGUAUCGUAAGACGUGGUACUUCUCGAGCAGCUCCAUCAAUUCCAACAGUUGAUUGCAGCUUUGGCCACGACGAAAUUUGAAAAGUCCCUUUUGUCAAAAGCAAAAUACAAACUGAGCCAAGAUAUUGAGGCAGGACGCUCCCACAACAAAGUUGACAAAAGAACUGAAGCAACAGCAAAUCCUAUCUGGAAUUUUGCUAGAGAUGUCUACAGACGGUAAAAAACGUUGAGAAAGAAGAAGAAACCUAACUUAAAGUAGAGCUUGAAUAACCAUCUACACCAAAAGCCAACGGAACUUAUUUUCUACGCUCCCCAAGAAGGCAUUAUUAUGUCUUGCCCUUGCUGACGACUUAUGGUUCCGGUGGAGUCAUCAUGAAGGAAAGCAAUCCUUUUCCAAAUCAAAAUCUCCUUCCUCAACCGCCAUCAUUUUCAAGUUCGGCAUUGGAGGCCAUUCCCCAAACCAGACCCAAAAUUUGUCUUUAGGGUCAAUCGAGUUCAACCGUAUCAAAAAGUAGAGGGCACACGAGAGACUUUUGAAUCUUGUGAUAAACCGAAAUCAAUCAACAUGAAGGAAUUCAAAGCGUGUACUACGUGCUACCCUAACCCAUCGACUGAAGAACACCAACACGUGUUAAUCGUCUAGCAUUUUCCGGCGGAAACAAGUUGACAUAGUUGGUGAUUUCGCAGCAGUUAGGACAACUGGAAUUUUUAUGGGCUGGCGUAUUCUUAUCACCGAAGAUGGAAAAGCAUGUUUUAGGUUGUUAACUUGAUGGUCAAUGUCUUCUGGAACUCUGAGAUGAAGAUUUCGCGUCCGCCCCACCUGCCCAGCUCCUGGUGAAGCCCGACCAGCCCCAACUCAAGCACAGGCCCAAGCACAACCUGCUGCUGCCAACAACGGAACGAGAAUCAAAACUAUUUUUGUAAAACAGUGGAACACUCGAUGGACAGAAAACAAGUCCAAUUGUUAUACUGGAACAACACUGCAGUGGACAACUUCAACUUAGCUCAGUCAAUGGGCAACAGGUUCUUAUCCGGUCUGUUGGAAGUCCCGCAUCCGCUGGAUCAGUUGCAGUCGAAUCGGACGAUGCACCAACCGUAUUUAUUGGCCAUCUUUUGCCGUCAGUCGUAAGAUGACCUACAAUUUUACAUCGGGUGGAUGCCGUGAAGAUUAAUUACAAGGCUUCCCUCAUGAACGGACGACCACAUCAGACCACAUCCGGCAAAUCGACUGCGUCCGUCCACUCUCAACGUGAUCUCCCUCAAAUUAAUACUUUGUGCAGUUGCAUACGUUCGUCAGUCCUGUCGUGGAAUCGUAACGCGGCAUUUCGAUACAUGAAAUGCAACCAGUUAAAAAUGUGUUCCUACACUGGAUUAGCGGCAUGUUUAUUGAUAUAGUUCAGGCUGGCAGCAAUGAUAUAUUCAAUUAGAUCUCAUCAGCAUGACACCUCAGGGAAAUUCUAGUUAGGCCAUCAAAGAAACCUAGACGACCGUCUGAAGAGCCAUCAUUAAAUUUGAAACCGUAUCGAAUGGGCUGUACAAGGUUCAAUGACAGUUGAGAAUGAAUGUUGCUUGGAGUUGAGCAACAACAUUUGCCGGCCACAGCAUUUUCCGACAGAGCGACCAGCAAUCAAAAGUGGCAGCUUGUGAGUGUGAAUGUCUUCACGAGGGCGUCCUUCCCGUUUUUCACACCUGAUGUCAACUUUUAGUUUCUCUGCGGAUUGAGCUUCAGAAGACGCCCGGCAGUAUUUCCCAUCAGGCUUCAAGGUUCAAGGACUGACGCCGAUUAUCACUUCCAGGUUUGGAGUUUUAGAUGUUUGUGGUGCGUUGAUUGUUUCUUGGUAAGAUAUCUGGUAAGAAAUCUUCAGUAAGGUAUCAUUAGUUUUACUAAGGUAAUUAAUGUUUGUUAAAUUAGUCUAUUUCUUAAACAUAUUCCAUUAAAUGUUUGGGUUAUUAAAUCACUUAACUGCUCUUGAUUCAGUAAAAUUAUAUUUCUACAGAUGUUUUACAAAAUGUUGGCAAAAGAUCUGUCAACCAGGUUAAGUUAAAGCUGUUUGCUGUUGCUGUCUUAGUUUUACUUGCCACCUUGCUGCUUGCUAACUGCAUAAAAUGGUUUCCCACUGUUUGUUGAUGUUUGAGGUAUGACUGAAAAUGCCGGUGGUGUUGCAGUCCAAUGUGCUGAACUACUGAUGCUUGCCUGGGGUUAUGCUGGAUUUGGCAAACAUUUAUUGAGAGAUGAAGCCUGUUCCCUGGUAUAAGGAGUACUUAAACAGAAGGAGAUUUACGAUGCCGGUCAUUUUUCCACUUUUGUUACUCAUUAAGUGUGUGCAAGUAAUUUGAGCAAAAGUUUGUUUCGUUCUGUUUGUUGUUUUUGUGUCUUCUCGACAGAGUUUAUUACGUCUUAGGUCUACUUAGAAUGGGAAAAGAUUGUGAAAUGCUGAUUUGAGACAAGUUUGUAUGAAGUAUUUAAUUUUAUAUUACUUUAUUAGGAAGCACCCCAAAAAUUUCUAGAUUUUGCGUGUAAACGCUCUAAAAUGCGUGAAAAGUGGAAACGUUAAAUAAGGUUAGUUGAUAAGGUUAGUUUAGAUGCGCGCAUUUUAAUAAGUUAAAUCCUG
rnacentral:lncRNA from 1 species